rnacentral:rRNA from 1 species
GACGAACGCUGGCGGCGUGCCUAAUACAUGCAAGUAGAACGCUGAAGGAGGAGCUUGCUCUUCUGGAUGAGUUGCGAACGGGUGAGUAACGCGUAGGUAACCUGCCUGGUAGCGGGGGAUAACUAUUGGAAACGAUAGCUAAUACCGCAUAACAGUAGAUGUUGCAUGACAUUUGCUUAAAAGGUGCAAUUGCACCACUACCAGAUGGACCUGCGUUGUAUUAGCUAGUUGGUGGGGUAACGGCUCACCACGGCGACGAUACAUAGCCGACCUGAGAGGGUGAUCGGCCACACUGGGACUGAGACACGGCCCAGACUCCUACGGGAGGGAGCAGGAGGGAAUCUUCGGCAAUGGACGGAAGUCUGACCGGGCAACGCCGCGUGAGGGAAGAAGGGUUUCGGAUCGUAAAGCUCUGUUGUAAGAGAAGAACGAGUGUGAGAGUGGAAAGUUCACACUGUGACGGUAGCUUACCAGAAAGGGACGGCUAACUACGUG